rnacentral:rRNA from 1 species
UACGUAGGGUGCAAGCGUUGUCCGGAAUUAUUGGGCGUAAAGAGCUCGUAGGCGGUCUGUCGCGUCUGCUGUGAAAACUCAGGGCUUAACCCUGAGCUUGCAGUGGGUACGGGCAGACUAGAGUGCGGUAGGGGAGACUGGAAGUUCCAGGUGAUAGCGGUGAAAUGCGUAGAUAUCGUGGAGGAACACCGGUGGCGAAGGCGGCAUCCUGGACCGACACUGACGCUGAGGAGCGAAAGCCAGGGGAGCAAACGGG